GUUUCAAACUUGCAAGCCGUGGAAAAUAUAUCCAUGGGCCAGACCGCACAGAGAUAUUCUGAGACGUCCAAUGCUCCACACUCCCUAUUUCUCAUCUUCCUAAAUUAGCAUUGUCAUGCCUUGACGAGUCAGGAUUGCAUGAUCUUCCUUUCGCCGUCCCAACUACAAUAUCCAUCUGCGGUGGAGACGUUGCGUCAGAAACCGCUGGAAAUCAGUGUCACACCCCGCCACUUACACCAAUGACUAGAAGCAGAGAAGAAGACGUGUCAGGAUACGGCUGUUAGUCGACUUUCAGAGUGUGGACUUUUUCAAGCAGAUUUCUCUCAGAAGCGAGUGACAGAACGAAAUCGAGCGAGACACUUGAAAGAGAAUGUUCUGGUGUGUACGAAUAAUCUCUCUCUGGCAGCUUUCAUCUCCAGCCAUGGCUGUCAUUACCCAUGCUAGCGCUCUAACUAGCGUUAACCCACUUUAGCAGGGUUAUCAGACAGUGACGUAAGAGCUGGUAAUACAUGUCUAGAGUAAAAGGCCAAAUGUGUUCUCAUACAGCAAGACUUUGGACUUUUGGUCCAAAUGCUGAGAGGUCAGAGGUUAAAAGAUCAAACACAUGCAUCACUUUGAUAAUGCUUUGAUAAGUCAUAAUGAUAAUAGACUAUUGGUUUUGGACCGUGUGCAGUAAUUAUUUUUACUUCUUGUAUAUUUAUUAUUUGUUUUUUGUUUUGUUUUUUCUUCUAUGUAUGUGUAUUGUACUAUGGAUCCCUCUGGGUCUGGAAAUAAAGUUUAUUAUUAUAAUAUGUUUUGAUCUACUUGACAUGCAUUGUGGUUGAAAUAUGAUCUUGUUAUUGAGAUUUGACAUCACAGAAACAGUGUAAUCAUAAUCAGAUUGCUCACAGCUAUUUGUUUACAUGUGCUGCAAUAAAUCCACCUACUGCUACCAAUAAAAUAUUAAACAUGA